GAUGAACGCUGGCGGCGUGCUUAACACAUGCAAGUCGAACGGGAAUUAUUUUAUUGAAACUUCGUUCGAUAUGAGUUAAUUCUAGUGGCGGACGGUUGAUUAACGCCUGGUUAACCUGCCUUGUACAGGGGGAUAACAUUCAGAAAUGGCUGCUAAUACCGCAUAAGCGCACAGAGCUGCAUGUCUCCGUUUGAAAAACUACGUUGGCAUAGGAUGGACCCGCGUUGCAUUGGAUUGUUGGCAGGGUAACGGCCUACCAAGGCGAGGAUCCAUAGCCGGCAUGAGAGGGUGGACGGCGACACUGGGACUGAGACACGGCGCAGACUCCUACGGGAGGCAGGAGUGGGGAAUCUUGCACAAUGGGGGAAACCCUGAUGCAGCGACGGCGCGUGAACGAAGAAGUAUCUCGGUAUGUAAACUUCUAUAAGCAGGGAAGAGAUUGACGGUACCUGAAUAAGAAGCCCCGGCUAACUACGUG
rnacentral:rRNA from 1 species